UCUUGUUGCGUUUGGUGUUUACCUCGUCGCUGAGCAAGUUUACAACAAGGCCAAUGCUUCUUCCUCUUCUCACCAUGUGAAGGCUGGGGAGCACUGAGGAAAAUCACAAUUCAUCAUUUUCCUUGUUUUGUUUGUUUAAGUUGUUGUUAAAUAAGGUUACUUUGCAGGGAUUUCCCUUCAAUGUAAUUUGCUUAGGAGAAAUUUUAGACUCUGUAUAAUGAAUGUA